ACACACAAAGAAUGAAAUGUUGCCAUGUUUUUAUUGAACACACCAUGUAGACAUUCACAGUGCAGGUGGAAAAAGUAUGUGAACCCUUGGAUUUAAUAACUGGUUGAACCUCCUUUGGCAGCAAUAACUUCAACCAAACGUUUCCUGUAGUUGCAGAUCAGACGUGCACAACGGUCAGGAGUAAUUCUUGACCAUUCCUCUUUACAGAACUGUUUCAGUUCAGCAAUAUUCUUGGGAUGUCUG